rnacentral:rRNA from 1 species
GACGAACGCUGGCGGCGUGCUUAACACAUGCAAGUCGAACGGAAAGGCCCUGCUUUUGUGGGGUGCUCGAGUGGCGAACGGGUGAGUAACACGUGAGUAACCUGCCCUUGACUUUGGGAUAACUUCAGGAAACUGGGGCUAAUACCGGAUAGGAGCUCCUGCUGCAUGGUGGGGGUUGGAAAGUUUCGGCGGUUGGGGAUGGACUCGCGGCUUAUCAGCUUGUUGGUGGGGUAGUGGCUUACCAAGGCUUUGACGGGUAGCCGGCCUGUGAGGGUGACCGGCCACAUUGGGACUGAGAUACGGCCCAGACUGCUACGGGAGGCAGCAGUGGGGAAUAUUGCACAAUGGGCGGAAGCCUGAUGCAGCAACGCCGCGUGCGGGAUGACGGCCUUCGGGUUGUAAACCGCUUUCGCCUGUGACGAAGCGUGAGUGACGGUAAUGGGUAAAGAAGCACCGGCUAACUACGUG